AGAAAAGUAACUUUGAUAGGCCCUAACAUCAGCAUUUCCAAGAUGAGGAAGCCAAAGUUCACAACAAAAGAACAGCCGGCAUUACUUCCUAUUUGAAGAAACCCUACUACAGGCUCCUGAGUCAGAGUUUAUCUGGAUAGAGAUCCCAGAAAGCACUGGUGGGGAUGACGCAAAGUGAGUUGGGGAAUGGAAGGAAGACAACGAAAGGAAGCAGGAAAGAAGAAACUGCUGGUAUUGUCUUAGCUGCUCAACCAUGCCAGCACUUGGGCACCGCCCUGCACCUUUGCUUCACGGACUCAGGAUUGCUGAUGCUUCUUCAGGCAGGAAGAACGAUGGGGGUGGGGAGAAGGCAGAGGUGGUGGUGGUGGUUGUGCCAAUAGUAACCAUUUUCUUUUCACAAGAAAAACAAACAGUUUUCCAAGAGCCCCGAGCGCACUUCUGCUCACAGUGAUCAGCCAUGUGUGUCCUGCCUGAUGAUAAGGGAGGUUGGGGUUGCCAUCACUCCCAUUUUCAACCUCAAUAGUGAAGCCAAUAGCGGAGAUUGUGUGGAGUCAAUCACCCACAAAUCUCUGCUACAAAUAAAAAU